CCUACGGGUGGCAGCAGUGAGGAAUAUUGGUCAAUGGGCGGAAGCCUGAACCAGCCAAGUAGCGUGCAGGAUGACGGCCCUACGGGUUGUAAACUGCUUUUAUACGGGAAUAACGCGCCUUACGUGUAGGGCUUUGCAUGUACCGUAUGAAUAAGGACCGGCUAAUUCCGUGCCAGCAGCCGCGGUAAUACGGAAGGUCCGGGCGUUAUCCGGAUUUAUUGGGUUUAAAGGGAGCGUAGGCCGCAUGUCCAGCGUGCUGUGAAAUGUCCGGGCUCAACCCGGGCGUUGCAGCGGGAACUGGCGGGCUUGAGUGCGGGGAAGGCAGGCGGAAGUCGUGGUGUAGCGGUGAAAUG
rnacentral:rRNA from 1 species